GCUCAAGUGAUCCUCCCACCUCAGCCUCCUGAGUAGCUGGGAGUACAGGCACACGCCACCUCACCCGCAAUUGCCCCCACAUGUGCGCAUUUGGGAUUCUGUGACAUUGAAUACUCUCCACGUCAUUGGAAUAGGUUUUUUUGACCGAGCAGUCACCUGUAUUGCAUUCUCAAAAUCUAAUGGAGGAACCAAUCUCUGUGCUGUGGAUGACUCCAACGACCAUGUGCUCUCUGUAUGGGACUGGCAGAAAGAAGAAAAACUGGCAGAUGUGAAGUGCUCUAAUGAAGCUGUGUUUGCUGCGGAUUUCCACCCCACGGACACCAACAUCAUAGUUACCUGUGGAAAAUCGCAUCUCUACUUUUGGACACUAGAAGGAAGCUCCCUUAAUAAGAAGCAAGGAUUAUUUGAGAAACAAGAAAAGCCAAAGUUUGUCCUCUGUGUGACUUUCUCUGAAAACGGUGACACCAUUACUGGAGAUUCAAGUGGCAACAUCUUAGUAUGGGGAAAAGGUACAAAUCGAAUAAGC
rnacentral:sRNA from 1 species